AAUUAGUUUACCAUUUUAAUAACAUCAUUGAGUUGCAUCCAUUCUCAAUGAUUUUAUAGUUAAUCUCAUCCCACUCUGUAAUUUCUUCUUAAAAGCAUUGAUUUGCCAAAGCAAAUGUGUCAGUGGCUCGUUCUCCAGUCAUUGCAAGUUGGAUCAAACCAUUGGAAGAAAAAAGAGUCAUUUCCCCGAAUCAAUUGCCCAUUAAUAUCAACCAUUAAUAAACUUAUAAAGUGUAGUUCUUAAUCAAAAUAGUCAAAAUAAAAAUCAUUGUAAUUACCUCCGAAGCACCAAAUAAUACCAAUUUAUUGACAAUUGGGUCAAUUUGAGAUAUCAAUCAAACAUGAGGGUUUAACCGGUAAUUAU
rnacentral:misc_RNA from 1 species